rnacentral:rRNA from 1 species
UACAGAGGGUGCAAGCGUUAAUCGGAAUUACUGGGCGUAAAGCGCACGUAGGUGGUUAGUUAAGUUGGAUGUGAAAGCCUUGGGCUCAACCUGAGAAUUGCAUUCAAUACUGGGUAACUAGAGUAUGAUAGAGGAUAGUGGAAUUUCCGGUGUAGCGGUGAAAUGCGUAGAUAUCGGAAGGAACAUCAGUGGCGAAGGCGGGUCUCUGGGCAGUAACUGACGCUGAGGAGCGAAAGCGUGGGGAGCGAACAGG